UACGGGGGGGGUAAGCGUUGUUCGGAAUUACUGGGCGUAAAGGGCUCGUAGGCGGCCAACUAAGUCAGACGUGAAAUCCCUCAGCUUAACUGGGGAACUGCGUCUGAUACUGGAUGGCUUGGAUUCGGGAGAGGAAUGCGGAAUUCCAGGUGUAGCGGUGAAAUGCGUAGAUAUCUGGAGGAACACCGGUGGCGAAGGCGGCCCUCUGGACGGUGACUGACGCUGAGACGCGAAAGCGUGGGGAGCAAACAGG
rnacentral:rRNA from 1 species